rnacentral:rRNA from 1 species
GAGAGCUUGCUCUCGGGUGACGAGCGGCGGACGGGUGAGUAAUGUCUGGGAAACUGCCUGAUGGAGGGGGAUAACUACUGGAAACGGUAGCUAAUACCGCAUAACGUCGCAAGACCAAAGUGGGGGACCUUCGGGCCUCAUGCCAUCAGAUGUGCCCAGAUGGGAUUAGCUAGUAGGUGGGGUAACGGCUCACCUAGGCGACGAUCCCUAGCUGGUCUGAGAGGAUGACCAGCCACACUGGAACUGAGACACGGUCCAGACUCCUACGGGAGGCAGCAGUGGGGAAUAUUGCACAAUGGGCGCAAGCCUGAUGCAGCCAUGCCGCGUGUGUGAAGAAGGCCUUCGGGUUGUAAAGCACUUUCAGCGGGGAGGAAGGCGGUGAGGUUAAUAACCUCAUCGAGAGACGUACCCUGCAGAAUGAGAGC